rnacentral:rRNA from 1 species
GCGAGUCAUUGUAGCAAUACAAGGCAGACGGCUCAGUAACGCGUAGUCAACCUACCUUAUGGACGGGGAUAACCUCGGGAAACUGAGAAUAAUACCCGAUAGAACAUUAUGCCUGGAAUGGUUUAUGUUUCAAAUAAUUUAUUGCCGUAAGAUGGGACUGCGGCCUAUCAGUUUGUUGGUGAGGUAAUGGCCCACCAAGACUAUUACAGGUACGGGCUCUGAGAGGAGUAGCCCGGAGAUGGGUACUGAGACACGGACCCAGGCCCUAUGGGGCGCAGCAGGCGAGAAAACUUUGCAAUGUGCGAAAGCACGACAAGGUUAAUCCGAGUGGUUUCUGCUAAAGGAACCUUUUGUCAGUCCUAGAAACACUAACGAAUAAGGGGUGGGCAAGUUCUGGUGUCAGCCGCCGCGGUAAAACCAGCACCUCAAGUGGUCAGGAUGAUUAUUGGGCCUAAAGCAUCCGUAGCCUGCUUUGUCAGUUUUCGGUUAAAUCCAUAUGCUCAACGUAUGGGCUGCCGGGAAUACUACAAAGCUAGGGAGUGGGAGAGGUAGACGGUACUCGGUAGGAAGGGGUAAAAUCCUUUGAUCUAUUGAUGACCACCUGUGGCGAAGGCGGUCUACCAGAACACGUCCGACGGUGAGGGAUGAAAGCUGGGGGAGCAAACCGGAUUAGAUACCCGGGUAGUCCCAGCUGUAAACUAUGCAAACUCGGUGAUGCAUUGGCUUGAUGCCAAUGCAGU